AUAAUGGGUCAGCGACUUAUAUUCUGUAGCAAGGUUAACCGAAUAGGGGAGCCGAAGGGAAACCGAGUCUUAACUGGGCGUUAAGUUGCAGGGUAUAGACCCGAAACCCGGUGAUCUAGCCAUGGGCAGGUUGAAGGUUGGGUAACACUAACUGGAGGACCGAACCGACUAAUGUUGAAAAAUUAGCGGAUGACUUGUGGCUGGGGGUGAAAGGCCAAUCAAACCGGGAGAUAGCUGGUUCUCCCCGAAAGCUAUUUAGGUAGCGCCUCGUGAAUUCAUCUCCGGGGGUAGAGCACUGUUUCGGCAAGGGGGUCAUCCCGACUUACCAACCCGAUGCAAACUGCGAAUACCGGAGAAUGUUAUCACGGGAGACACACGGCGGGUGCUAACGUCCGUCGUGAAGAGGGAAACAACCCAGACCGCCAGCUAAGGUCCCAAAGUCAUGGUUAAGUGGGAAACGAUGUGGGAAGGCCCAGACAGCCAGGAUGUUGGCUUAGAAGCAGCCAUCAUUUAAAGAAAGCGUAAUAGCUCACUGGUCGAGUCGGCCUGCGCGGAAGAUGUAACGGGGCUAAACCAUGCACCGAAGCUGCGGCAGCGACGCUGAUGCGUUGUUGGGUAGGGGAGCGUUCUGUAAGCCUGCGAAGGUGUGCUGUGAGGCAUGCUGGAGGUAUCAGAAGUGCGAAUGCUGACAUAAGUAACGAUAAAGCGGGUGAAAAGCCCGCUCGCCGGAAGACCAAGGGUUCCUGUCCAACGUUAAUCGGGGCAGGGUGAGUCGACCCCUAAGGCGAGGCCGAAAGGCGUAGUCGAUGGGAAACAGGUUAAUAUUCCUGUACUUGGUGUUACUGCGAAGGGGGGACGGAGAAGGCUAUGUUGGCCGGGCGACGGUUGUCCCGGUUUAAGCGUGUAGGCUGGUUUUCCAGGCAAAUCCGGAAAAUCAAGGCUGAGGCGUGAUGACGAGGCACUACGGUGCUGAAGCAACAAAUGCCCUGCUUCCAGGAAAAGCCUCUAAGCAUCAGGUAACAUCAAAUCGUACCCCAAACCGACACAGGUGGUCAGGUAGAGAAUACCAAGGCGCUUGAGAGAACUCGGGUGAAGGAACUAGGCAAAAUGGUGCCGUAACUUCGGGAGAAGGCACGCUGAUAUGUAGGUGAAGCGACUUGCUCGUGGAGCUGAAAUCAGUCGAAGAUACCAGCUGGCUGCAACUGUUUAUUAAAAACACAGCACUGUGCAAACACGAAAGUGGACGUAUACGGUGUGACGCCUGCCCGGUGCCGGAAGGUUAAUUGAUGGGGUUAGCGCAAGCGAAGCUCUUGAUCGAAGCCCCGGUAAACGGCGGCCGUAACUAUAACGGUCCUAAGGUAGCGAAAUUCCUUGUCGGGUAAGUUCCGACCUGCACGAAUGGCGUAAUGAUGGCCAGGCUGUCUCCACCCGAGACUCAGUGAAAUUGAACUCGCUGUGAAGAUGCAGUGUACCCGCGGCAAGACGGAAAGACCCCGUGAACCUUUACUAUAGCUUGACACUGAACAUUGAGCCUUGAUGUGUAGGAUAGGUGGGAGGCUUUGAAGUGUGGACGCCAGUCUGCAUGGAGCCGACCUUGAAAUACCACCCUUUAAUGUUUGAUGUUCUAACGUUGACCCGUGAUCCGGGUUGCGGACAGUGUCUGGUGGGUAGUUUGACUGGGGCGGUCUCCUCCUAAAGAGUAACGGAGGAGCACGAAGGUUGGCUAAUCCUGGUCGGACAUCAGGAGGUUAGUGCAAUGGCAUAAGCCAGCUUGACUGCGAGCGUGACGGCGCGAGCAGGUGCGAAAGCAGGUCAUAGUGAUCCGGUGGUUCUGAAUGGAAGGGCCAUCGCUCAACGGAUAAAAGGUACUCCGGGGAUAACAGGCUGAUACCGCCCAAGAGUUCAUAUCGACGGCGGUGUUUGGCACCUCGAUGUCGGCUCAUCACAUCCUGGGGCUGAAGUAGGUCCCAAGGGUAUGGCUGUUCGCCAUUUAAAGUGGUACGCGAGCUGGGUUUAGAACGUCGUGAGACAGUUCGGUCCCUAUCUGCCGUGGGCGCUGGAGAACUGAGGGGGGCUGCUCCUAGUACGAGAGGACCGGAGUGGACGCAUCACUGGUGUUCGGGUUGUCAUGCCAAUGGCACUGCCCGGUAGCUAAAUGCGGAAGAGAUAAGUGCUGAAAGCAUCUAAGCACGAAACUUGCCCCGAGAUGAGUUCUCCCUGACUCCUUGAGAGUCCUGAAGGAACGUUGAAGACGACGACGUUGAUAGGCCGGGUGUGUAAGCGCAGCGAUGCGUUGAGCUAACCGGUACUAAUGAACCGUGAG
rnacentral:rRNA from 1 species